AGCCCGGCUACGAAUCACGUGUCAGCUGCCUGAGGCAGAGACUAGAGAGGAGGGGAGGGGGGGAAGCGCCUCAUUCCUUCUUCCACCGCCAUACUGUAUUUUAUAGUAACUCAUUUUUAUUCCUCUCUUUUACUCCCGCUCGUGGAAGGUUUUCCUGGAGAAUGAAGUGCGGUUUGGUUUCCUUGUCAACGGAAGAUGAAGUGAACAACUGAACAUCUCCCCAGUGCAGACUUGCUGGACCUUCCCUCCUGCUCUGGACCUCUCCCCUGGCGUCGGCACAGCUCAGAAGGAUGAAAGAAAAAGAAGCAAUAGGAGAGGGAUGGAAGAGGGGAGAGGAGUAAAAGGAGGAGGAGGAGGGCAGCAAUUGAAAUGGAGAAAAAUUCAACAGCGGUUCAGUUAAGGCUUAAAUAAUGAAAUGUUUAUAAGAUCCCCUCCUACUGACCUUUCCUUCUGGGUCAUUGCCCGCUCCCUCUCUGUCACCUUAGUUUUCAUCAGCACUUCAGCCACAGCAGCCUCGCUUUUAAUUUUCGCUUGUUAUUAUCAACAACAAAACAAACAAAUAAUCCCAGAAUGCAGCACCCUGCUUACAGACCUAAUUUCCAGGGUGGUGGGAUUUUUAUUUUUGUUUUUUAGAUGAAAUACGGUUACAUUGUUAAGUAUGCAAGUCAGUAGGAGUACUGGCAUGAUUAAGGACUAUUUCUGUGAGUUACAUUGGGACUAGAUUUGCAGUUAGGCAGUCCUAACUUGCAUCACUGUUGCAAUGGCCCCUUAUGUGCCAUUGCAGGGGUGCAGAACUGCUGGGCUGAAAGGAUUCCACAGCCAUGCCUCCUCCCAUGCUGAUGUGCCCCUUCCUCUUCAGGCCCACGCCUAUCUGGAAUGCCUCCUGCAUAGUAGGGCUGCUGCAGGAGGAAUCACAAUAUUAGUAGAGACAGUACUCGGCCUAGAGGACUCCUAAAAUGGAUAUUUCCUGAGUGGGGGGAAAGGGGACUUACAUCUGUCCUAUCCCUCCUUUGCACCAGACUAUCUAGCAUAAAGGGGCCAUAGGGCAGUCAUUGAAUGGGUACAAAGGCAACUGACAGUAGCAAGUUUGCAGGCGUAAGCCUUUAUACUGGAAGUGGUAAAAAAUUCCUGAUGUUGUAUUUCAAAUAAAAAUUGAACAUGGUUGUAAGUGAAGUUUUUUUGUUUUUCACAUCUAGCCCAACAGGUGCUGGUGGAACUGGUCCAGAGCAGAAUGGUCAGGUCUGAAAGCCUAAAAGGAAUGUUCAUGACCUAAGCAAACAAUCUUUUUAAUAAUAAUGCGCGAGCACACACACAUAGACACACACACACUUGUUAAAUAAAAGUUUGAGGGAAUAGUAACUUCUUUUGGUGAAUUUGUUAAAAUAUUAUUAUUUAAAUAAACUUUUUCAUUUUAUAUUUUCUCUCCACUUACAAUGUAAACAUGGACUGUUGUCUCAUACAUGACUCCAUAUUUAUAAUAUUUAUCAGUAAUAAAUUCUCCAUAGUGUACUGGUCUUAGUGCUGAAUUGUUUCCUAAAUGGUAUGUUAUACUACUAAAUCUCAUCGACAAUAAUUCAGUAUGGUACAUAGAAUUGGCAAAAUCCUACCUGCUUUAUACAUACAAGUAGUUGUUUUGAAGUCAGUGAUCUUAUUGAAAUCUAUGUGACUGCCCGUGUAAGUAAGAUAAAGGCAGAUUUGAUCCAUAGGGUCCAAUCCAAAGCCCUUUGAAGUUAGUGGGGAAACUCCCAUUGACUUCAGUAGGCCUUGGGUCAGGCCCUUAGUCCUGAUGCCCCCCUGCAGUUUCAGCAGUGUUGUAGAAUAACACAUUACAAGUUAUCCUAUAACUGUGCCUUGUUUUGUAACUUUCAACUUUUAUUUCAAAAUGCAAUGAAAUUGCUAAAUACAGUAGUUGCCAUUUCACUUUAAAAUGUAACCUUCAUCCAUAAUCAUCAGUUAUUUUUAUGACCAAAUGCUUUGUAUAAUAUUACACUAUCUUCAGAGCUGUUGGAAAAGAAGUUUUAUAGCUUGGAGGAAUGGUAUUGGCACCUUGAAGAUAUGAACUUUUGAUUGAAACUUUGAAAGGCCACAACUUCUGACAGGGCAGUGCAUUUUUGGGGGUGUUAAAUUUAUACUUAUUUCAAAUCAAGUGUUAUUAUUGCCACUGGAAUUUGUAACUGAAACAUGUUAGAUGGCCUCAAAUGUAACUAUAACAUGUAUAAACAUUAACAACAUUAACAUUAACAAACCUGUAUCAAUAAGCUUGGGCCAAAUUAUUUUUUUUACCAAGGUGCCUAAAGCCAGGCAUCUACUGUAAAUCCAUAAUUAGGCACUUACAUAAAAUCAGCUCGAUUUUCAGAGGUGUUAAUCACCCAUGGCUCAGACUGACCUCAGUGGGAACUUUCAGAGGUCAUCACAGCUAAAUAAAAUCCAAUUAUUUAUAUUUAGAUGCUUAAGUGUUGGAGCUAAUCAGAAAACAUUUUUUCUGAAAACUUUCCAUUUUCUCAAAAGUUGAAUUUUUCUUACCAGUUCUAUUUACUAUAGAUUAAGAUGCCUGACUGUACGAAUUCUAGUUUGAAAAUGUUUUAAUAUAUUUUUCCUUUAGCAAUAUACCCUGUCCACUGAGGAGAAUUACAUUCUUUCAAUUGACUUGAAUUGGGAGUUAGAUUAGACCCAAAAGAUCCUAGUGUACUCUGCCUUUGAAACUUAUAAAAUUGGUAAAAUUUCAUUUUAGUGCGUAUGAUUCUUUUGCCAUUACAUCGACAUUAGGGGUCAGAUGCUGCUCUCAUUUAUAGUUGUGCAACACUUUGACAUCAAUGAAUUGACCUCAGUGGGUUUGCACUGAGAACAGAAUUUUGCCUGAAGUCAUUACCAAGUAUGGCUUGCUAUCAGUCAUUUCUCAAUAUGGUAUUACAUACUGUAAAUGUCAAAAUAUAAUAAAUAAAGAAAAUAUAAUGUCCAUUAUACCUUCUUAAAACAGUCAGUCUUACCCCAGUGUGGCACACUGUUUUGUUGUAGCACAAAGACAACGUGGUACAUGUCUAAAUAACAGUAUCUAAGCAGAUGAUGCUAUUUCCAGUAAAGUCUAUGAGAAUUUUGUUAUUGAUUGCACUGGGAACAAGAUCAGGCAUCAGUUUUCCAAUAUGGUAGGAUGUGGUUCGAAUACAAAUAUGGUGUAAUGUACUACUUCAGUAGAAUAGACAAUAUGAUAUUGGAUGACUCAGUAGUUCCCUAGGUGGAAAAAUAGA